CUUUCCUCCACCCUCUGGAUGGGCACUUCCUUUUCCCUCUUUGUCUAGCUCAGGGAUCACCAGAGUUUUUUUGUUCAAGGGCCAGAUGGUAAAUAUUUUUGGCUUGUUGUCUGUGAGAUCUCUUUCUGGAAUACUCAGCUCUGCUGUUCUAGGGUGAGAGCAGCCAUAGACAAACUGUAAAUGAAGGGUGAAGCCAUGUUCCACUGACCUUUAUUUAUGAAAACCCAACAGGCCACUGUGUGUCGACCCCGGACCUGGUGGUUCUGAAUCAUCCUGACCCUCUGGGACCUGCUGCUAUUGCACUUUGGACUUUUCCAUUAGAGUGCUCAUCUCUACUCUAAUUAAUUUAUUUGUCUAAUUAUGUGUUUGUAUGGACUCCCAUGCAAAUGUGAAGGCAGAGGCCAUGUACACUUCAUCGGCUGGAUACUUUCAGUGAGCACAGAUCUAGGUCUUCCUCAGCAUCAAAAUAACCAUGAAAGGGCAACAUUGUGCAUGGACUCAAGACGUGAAGGCAAUCAUGACAGAGCUACUAAAGACACUCAUGGAAAAGAGCUUGCAGAAUGGCUUCAGGAUGGAUAAGUGUGUCCAGAGUAAAGGGGACUAAUGGCAGUGUGUGUUUUCUUUUACUGCAAUAAAUAGUAUUGAAUUUAGACAUUCACUGUGUUUUUCAGUCACAUACCUUGUAUAUGAUGGAGGGUUGGGAG
rnacentral:lncRNA from 1 species